rnacentral:rRNA from 1 species
AGCCACAGCCAUUUCACGCUGCAGCCCAAGACCGGUUGCUCGCUGAAGCUAAGCAGGGCUGAACCUGGUCAGUACCUGAAUGGGAGAUUGCAUGGGACAACUAGGUUGCUUUUGGAA